rnacentral:lncRNA from 1 species
UUGUUGUUAAUUCUUAGGCUUUUGUUUACAUUGACAUAAUCCUUAAGGUGUAGAAAUGAGAGGCAGUUCAUGAUACCAUUAGAUAUCCUCAAAACAUAGUGAAACUUUAAAGUGUACCGUUGAUGCUAUUCCAAUUGAAGUACCAAUGACAUUGAUGUGUGCUCAGAUUAAUUUCCAACCAUAAUCAUUCAAACCAAAGAGAAGUCAUAUCUCCAAAGCAAAAAAUCAAUUCUACACAAGAACUCUGAUAUCCACAACCAACAACAAAUAGAAAAGAGAUACAAUAUCGCAAAAAUAAAUGGUUAGAGAGAGAGAGAGAGAAAGAGAAAGUUUACUUGAGAGAAACUAUCAGCGGCAGUGAAAAUAAGACCAGCGGUUAUGCCCUUAGUGAGAACAGGAUGCCUCUCAAUCAUGCCUAAAUACCACCUUGUGAACCCAUACUUCGGAGAAGAGAUUGAAAUGGAAGGAGAUAGCCCUGAUUCCUUUAGAGUUUUCAACAAACGAGACUGAACAUAAGCACCUGUGUGUCGCUUCACGAAGCUCGAGGCCACGCCAGAGCCAAGGAAAGGGGCAGCAUUUUGAGGAGGGGAGAAGGGGGAAUUGGGUACAUGGCGCCAAUGCCUGGCAUUUCUCAGGAGACGACCUCUCAUGUUCACUCGCAAUAAGACAAGAGAAGAGAGAGAGAGAGAGAGGGUGCCUAAAAGGGUUGGUACCGAUCGAUUUUCUCUGGCUUUUAGCUCCAAGAGAGAGAGUAAGGGGGGAGGGGCAAGAGGGGAAGGAUUUUAGAGAGAGAGUGGGGACGUGUAGGUUUGGAAAAGGUAUAGAAAGAAAGCGAGUGGAAUGUGAAAGUCUAGAGUAAGAAAGCGGCGAAGGUCGGCUUUGCCCUAAACCGCGAAACUUUUCACGUGCCACGUGACUUAAUUUUGCGAGUCACACAUGGUGAAGCUU